rnacentral:rRNA from 1 species
UGGGGGACAUUCCACGGUUUCCGUGACGCAGCUAACGCAUUAAGUUCCCCGCCUGGGGAGUACGGCCGCAAGGCUAAAACUCAAAGGAAUUGACGGGGACCCGCACAAGCGGCGGAGCAUGCGGAUUAAUUCGAUGCAACGCGAAGAACCUUACCAAGGCUUGACAUACACCAGAACGGGCCAGAAAUGGUCAACUCUUUGGACACUGGUGAACAGGUGGUGCAUGGUUGUCGUCAGCUCGUGUCGUGAGAUGUUGGGUUAAGUCCCGCAACGAGCGCAACCCUCGUUCUAUGUUGCCAGCACGUAAUGGUGGGAACUCAUGGGAUACUGCCGGGGUCAACUCGGAGGAAGGUGGGGAUGACGUCAAAUCAUCAUGCCCCUUAUGUCUUGGGCUUCACGCAUGCUACAAUGGCCGGUACAAAGGGCUGCAAUACCGUGAGGUGGAGCGAAUCCCAAAAAGCCGGUCCCAGUUCGGAUUGAGGUCUGCAACUCGACCUCAUGAAGUCGGAGUCGCUAGUAAUCGCAGAUCAGCAACGCUGCGGUGAAUACGUUCCCGGGUCUUGUACACACCGCCCGUCAAGUCAUGAAAGUCGGUAACACCUGAAGCCGGUGGCCCAACCCUUGUGGAGGGAGCCGUCGAAGGUGGGAUCGGUAAUUAGGACUAGAGUCGUAACA